UACGGAGGGUGCAAACGUUGCUCGGAAUCAUUGGGCGUAAAGCGCACGUAGGCGGUCCUUUAAGUCGGGUGUGAAAGCCCUCGGCUCAACCGAGGAAGUGCAUUCGAAACUGGGGGACUUGGAUACUGGAGAGGAUGGCGGAAUUCCCGGUGUAGAGGUGAAAUUCGUAGAUAUCGGGAGGAACACCAGCGGCGAAGGCGGCCAUCUGGACAGAUAUUGACGCUGAGGUGCGAAAGCGUGGGGAGCAAACAGG
rnacentral:rRNA from 1 species